rnacentral:tRNA from 1 species
AGUUCCGAGGUGUUUACAUGUCAGAUUGCAAAUCUGAAGUAGUAGGCUAACCCCUACCGGGACUU